rnacentral:lncRNA from 1 species
UAUUUACUUUGAGACGGGGUCUUGCUGAGUUGUUCGGGCUGGACUUGAACUUGCCAUCCUCUUGCCUCUGGCUCCUGAGUAGAGGAAGACUUAGUGAGAAGGUGACAUUGAGCACAGACCAGACGGAGAUGAGGAGCAAGUCAUGCCAACCUCCCGAGGAGUGGUGUACCAAGCAGAGGGCCUGGAGGUGGAAAACCCCUGCUUAGGGAACAGCUCAUGGCCAGUGUGUCUGCAGCAGGGUGGGUGGAGGACUGGAGGGAAAGAGGGCAGAGAGGUGACAGUGUAGGUAGCACAGCUGCUUGGCGUCUAGGAAGGACUCUGGUUUUUAUUCCUAGUGAAGUGGGAGCCGUGAAGGUUUCUGAGCGCGGAGGGACUACCUGACUCAGGUGUUCACAGGUACCUUCUUGAGGCUGCAGGAGCUCCAGGCUGCUCCGGUCCAGAUGAACAACUGCUGGAGCUGGGCUGGGAGGUGGCAUUGGAGAAGUGGUUGGAUUUGGAAUGUGUUUUGCAGCCUGGGCCAACUGGUCUUACAGGGCAGCAUCAAGGGUGACUCCUUAGUCCAGGUCUGAGCCCCUGAGAGGAUGGAGGGCCAUUUCCUGAAAUGGGGAUAGAUGGUAAUGUGG